CGGACGGGUGAGUAACGCGUGGAAAACCUGCCGUAUACUGGGGGAUAACACUUAGAAAUAGGUGCUAAUGCCGCAUAAGCGCACAGCUUCGCAUGAAGCGGUGUGAAAAACUCUGGUGGUAUACGAUGGUUCCGCGUCUGAUUAGCUAGUUGGUGGGGUAAUGGCCUACCAAGGCAACGAUCAGUAGCCGGCCUGAGAGGGUGAACGGCCACAUUGGGACUGAGACACGGCCCAAACUCCUACGGAAGGCAGCAG
rnacentral:rRNA from 1 species